rnacentral:rRNA from 1 species
GACGAACGCUGGCGGCGUGCUUAACACAUGCAAGUCGAGCGGUAAGGCCCUUUCGGGGGUACACGAGCGGCGAACGGGUGAGUAACACGUGGGUGACCUGCCCUCAGCUCUGGGAUAAGCCUGGGAAACCGGGUCUAAUACUGGAUAUGACUCCAUGACGCAUGUUGUGGGGUGGAAAGCCUUGUGCGGCUGAGGAUGGGCCCGCGGCCUACCAGCUUGUUGGUGGGGUGAUGGCCUACCAAGGCGACGACGGGUAGCCGGCCUGAGAGGGCGACCGGCCACACUGGGACUGAGACACGGCCCAGACUCCUACGGGAGGCAGCAGUGGGGAAUCUUGCGCAAUGGGCGAAAGCCUGACGCAGCGACGCCGCGUGAGGGAUGACGGCCUGGU